UAAGACGGUCUUGCACAUGCGCAGUUAUUUAAAAAAGGGACUUGGGGAAACUUUGGUGUCUGAUCAACCUGCUCGCUAAGUGAGCCAUAGGUUUUUAGUCAAGACUAGAAAACUAGUUAAAACUAACAAUAUUACCGUAUUUUUUGGAAUACAAGGCGCACUUAAAUCUUUAAAUUUUCUCAAAUUUAUGGUGCGCCUUUAUAUUUGAUUAAAGUUGUGCUUAGUGACAGAUUUUUGUGACUGGCUAAUGCAGCUUAUCACCACUUGCCUUGUUGUCUCAUUGCUUCUCAAGGCCAAGCCAGUUUCACACCAGUGUUUGUUAGAAGGUUUUCUUUUUGUUCUCUUCUUCUCAGAGCUUACAUUUGGGCCUGCUGUUUAUUUGUGAGCUUUUCCAUCAAACCGGACGGAAAAAUUGAGGAAGAGCAGGAGGAAAGGGAGUGAUAAGAAUAGACUGUUUAUAUUUAAUGUGUCUUGAGUAACCCUAAAUAGUUCCCUCUGGUUAGAACUGAUUUACAUGUUUUAUUUAAUCUUUUAUUAGUGUUUUUAACUGAUAUGUCGCAGUGUUAUUCCAAAUAUUUCUUAAUAACCUGCACCGGCUUUCAGUGGAGAACAUUUGGGGAAAUUUUAGUGCUUUAAAAUGCUUUUUUUUAAGGAUUUCCUUGUUUACAGCGUUAGACUUUCUUGUUUUAUUAAACAUGACAGUCGUGUAUGUGGGUCAUACAUAGUGAAGGUUGUGCAUACAGGCCUGUAGUAUCUGGAUAAACGCAUGUUGGACAACAGCUCCUGGCUCGGUUCUGGGAGGACGUUUGACCGGGCGUCUCCUUUACAGCGACCCGGCUUUGAUGCGUGGUGAUCACGUUAUCAACAGGGUGGAGGCUGUUGUCCGUCUGCUUCAUCCGUCCUAAAUCAGUUCUGAAGUUCUGGAUCCUGGUGGCGUUUGAACACCCAGCUGAGUCCAGGUCUCUCUUGGUUUGAGGGGAAGAACUUCAGAGGCAGUCCUCCUCCUGUGCACCAGUAUCCUCGGCAUGUUCGCUUUAAGCCCUCGCCUUGAUCUGUUGUCGUCGUAGUUCUUGUUCGUUUUUUGGCUAAAUGGAUCCAUCUUUGUUUUGUCUGAUCAUAAAACUUUUCCCCAGAAGAUAUUGGGCUAUUCUAGCUGCAAAUUUCUGACUAGCUUUAAGGUUUGUUUUGGCAAAGGAGCCUCGGUCUUGGUUUGCCUCGCUGGGGGGGACUGACUACCAGUUUCACUUCACAGCCGCCGUGAAGGCCUGACAGUUCCUGUCUUGUUUCCUUUCAUCUGAAUGUGACGUUUGGACUCCUGAACUCUGUAAAGUAGCGACACAUUCAACAGAGAGAACCUACCAGCACCAGUCAGUCAUAAUCAGUAAGAAGAGGAGUCUUGAUUUUUGUUUAUCACCACAAACAAAAAUAAAAGAAGCUAUUCCCGUUAUUGACAGUUGAGGAAAAUAAGUUUUUGAUCUGAGUUUCCCGGUUGACUUGCUUUACUCUCCUGCUUCAAGCUCUCCUCUCUAAACGAUGGAUCUAAUGCUAGAGAUACAGCCAGAUAAUGGAUGCUAAAGCUGCAGACGGCCACUGGAUGUCACUGGAGGACCGGUUUUACUUCAGGAACCUGCUGGUUCUGGCUCCUGCUUGAGUCCAGCACCGUGCCACGGUCCGUGCAGUUAGGCUGCAGCUCACCUGUGCUGGCUGUAGGGACUCUGGUAGAGCUGAAAAGUUUACACACCCCUGGUAAAUUACAAUUAAACAGAAAAAAAUGCUGUUAUAACCUGGCUGCAUAAGUUUGUAGACCCUUUGUUGUCAACGUUUAGUCUUCUUAGUUUCCCGCAUUAGUUGUAGUGAAUGUGAUAAACCUGCGAUAAAGGGUUUCACUCAUUGGACUCUUCAGCUGAAGCCACAGUUUAUACAAAAGGGCAGUGAAGACUCAGUCAUCAAUAAGUGGACAAAAUGUGGGACAACAGGGACAUUACUAAAGGGCAUUUGUCCAGAAGUGAGGAAAAGACACGAUGGAAGCUGUUCAGGGGCGCCGACACUACUAAUGGGCUUGAAAGGCAGAGCUUUUUCUUCCAAACACCCCCAGUCUGGAUAAAACCUGGAGACUAUUGCCAAAAGAGCGCUAGUCUACAGGGAAGCAUGGUGGUGGCAGCAUCAUGAUCUGGGGCUGCUGGUUCUCCAGAGGGAGACCCAGGACUGAAAACCUUCAGGUCUGAAGCUGAGGAUGAAGAGGGACGAAAAAGCAUCCUGCUGAGAACAAUCACACAUCAAAAUCAACCAAAGGACGGCCUCACCAGGAGCAGAAAAAUAAAAGCUGGAAACAGAAAAAGAGUCCAGAACCAAAUCUGAGAGAAAAAACUGCAGGUUCAUCUGAGGACACACCAUGUCUCCACGAUCUGGGCAAAGUGGAGAGCUCCGGUCUGGAAGAGCGAGAACCGUCCUGCAGCCAAGUCUUCACGUUUAAGGGUGCAAACACUUAUGCAACCACAUUACCGCAGCCUUUUAAUUGUCUUUUUCAGUGGAAAUUGUCAAAUCAAAGGUGGAAAACAUUCUAAAUGUUGUUUCCAUGGUCUCUCUUUUUUCUUUUGUUUCUUUAAAUAAGAGGGGCCCGUUCUUAAAAAGGCACCUGUGGAUGUGGUUUAUGUUCUACCUGAUGGUCCAGUUAAAGCUAAAAUGGGUCUGACCUUCUAAGCAGCCCAGAUACUCUUGUGUCGCUGUUUGAAAACCCACUUGCAGCCACAGAGGAAGCUACCCGGCAACUCCCCUAACGGGGAAUCAUAAAGGAGGUUAUGGGAGCCCCGCAGGGCCAACAGAGCCGAUGCUGAUUCUGGGUUAUGUUGUGGGAUCAAAUGUUGGGCUCAGGGCGCGCACGCUCGGUCUGAAGACUGGAAACUUGACACAAAUGUGUGCGCGUAAUCAGCUCUUCCUCCUCCUCCUCUUCUUUGUCCCCCUCCCCGUCUCAUUUGUUCCCCCCCUUCUCUUCCAGCCUCGUCCUCUCGUUCUCUCAGACAGCAUGUCUCUGUGGUGUGCUCUGUUCCAAAUUAGCCCCAACUCUCUGUAUCCAGCCAUCGUUACAACUCCCUCAACCGAGGACGUGAAAAUAAAUAGAUCUAGAGAUGGAGGGGGAAAGAGGAGGAAGAAGGGUAAGGAGGAGAGUGAACGGGUUACAAUGGAGCUAUUGUCUGCUGCCACGGGGCCGUGGAAGAGAAAGGGAAGGGGGGGGAAGAAGAGGAAGGAGCAGAAGAUGAAGUAGAUGCUGAGGAGAAAAGGUUUGAGAGCUAAUGAGUGGGAUGAGAAAGGAAAAAGAGGAGGAAAAGAGGCGGGUGAUGAAUAGAUGUGGAAAAAUACGGCUCAGAUGUCAGGUUGGAGGUUGGCAUGAGGAGUCGGCCUUCUGGAGGAGAGUAGAAGUUACAGAACAGAGGUAAAAGAAAGGUGGAGGAGAGUAAAAGUUACAGAACAGAGGUAAAAGAAAGGUGGAGGAGAGUAAAAGUUACAGAAGAGAGGUAAAAGAAAGAUGGAGGAGAGUAAAAGUUACAGAAGAGAGGUAAAAGAAAGGUGGAGGAGAGUAAAAGUUACAGAAGAGAGGUAAAAGAAGGAUGGAGGAGAGUAAAAGUUACAGAAGAGAGGUAAAAGAAGGAUGGAGGAGAGUAAAAGUUACAGAAGAGAGGUAAAAGAAGGAUGGAGGAGAGUAAAAGUUACAGAACAGAGGUAAAAGAAAGGUGGAGGAGAGUAAAAGUUACAGAACAGGUAAAAGAAAGAUGGAGGAGAGUAAAAGUUACAGAACAGGUAAAAGAAAGAUGGAGGAGAGUAAAAGUGACAGAACAGAGGUAAAAGAAAGAUGGAGGAGAGUAGAAGUUACAGAACAGAGGUAAAAGAAAGAUGGAGGAGAGUAGAAGUUACAGAACAGAGGUAAAUGAAGGGUGGAGGAGAGUAAAAGUUACAGAAGAGAGGUAAAAGAAGGAUGGAGGAGAGUAGAAGUUACAGAACAG